rnacentral:rRNA from 1 species
AUUGAACGCUGGCGGCAGGCCUAACACAUGCAAGUCGAGCGGGGUUUUCGGACCUAGCGGCGGACGGGUGAGUAGUGCGUAGGAAGCUACCCGAUAGAGGGGGAUACCAGUUGGAAACGACUGUUAAUACCGCAUAAUGUCUACGGACCAAAGUGUGGGACCUUCGGGCCACAUGCUAUCGGAUGCGCCUACGUGGGAUUAGCUAGUUGGGGGGGUAAUGGCUCACCAAGGCGACGAUCCCUAGCUGGUUUGAGAGGAUGAUCAGCCACACUGGAACUGAGACACGGUCCAGACUCCUACGGGAGGCAGCAGUGGGGAAUAUUGGACAAUGGGCGCAAGCCUGAUCCAGCCAUGCCGCGUGUGUGAAGAAGGCCUUCGGGUUGUAAAGCACUUUCAGUAGGGAGGAAGGGUGUUGUGUUAAUAGCACAGCAUUUUGACGUUACCUACAGAAGAAGCACCGGCUAACUCUGUGCCAGCCGCCGCUGUAAUAC